rnacentral:rRNA from 1 species
GAUGAACGCUGGCGGCGUGCCUAAUACAUGCAAGUCGAGCGAACGGACGAGAAGCUUUCUUCUCUGAUGUUAGCGGCGGACGGGUGAGUAACACGUGGAUAACCUACCUAUAAGACUGGGAUAACUUCGGGAAACCGUAGCUAAUACCGGAUAAUAUUUUGAACCGCAUGGUUCAAAAGUGAAAGACGGUCUUGCUGUCACUUAUAGAUGGAUCCGCGCUGCAUUAGCUAGUUGGUAAGGUAACGGCUUACCAAGGCAACGAUGCAUAGCCGACCUGAGAGGGUGAUCGGACACACUGGCACUGAGACACGGCCCGGACUCCUAGGGGAGGCAGCAGUAGGGACUCUUCCGCAAUGGGCGAAAGCCUGACGGAGCAACGCCGCGUGAGUGAUGAAGGUCUUCGGAUCGUAAAACUCUGUUAUUAGGGAAGAACAUAUGUGUAAGUAACUGUGCACAUCUUGACGGUACCUAAUCAGAAAGCCACGGCUAACUACGUG